CGGGAUCCUGGAGUUUCAUUGUUUUGUUGCUCCCUAUUUGGAUUGUUAUCAGUAGGAAGUGUGGGCCUUCGUAAGAAGGAAAAAGAGUAAGGAUGGACACAUUAACUUUAUAAGAGCUCUGCUUAAGGGAGCAGUUGUCGAGACGAAGACUGGCCAUGUGUGUUCCUGAGUGACCACCUUGAGCAGAAUCUUCUCAAGUCCCCUCCAAUGGACAUGGGACACAAUAGAAAAGAAACCUCUUAUUUAAGCUGUUGAUAUUGGGGGGUGAGGAAACUUAGCCUCAGAGAGGGGAAGAAAUAUGAUAAAGAUCACAAAACUAUCAAGUGGGUUGCUGCUGCUGCUGCUGCUAAGUCGCUCCAGUCGUGUCCAACUCUGUGCGACCCCAUAGACG
ensembl:lncRNA